rnacentral:misc_RNA from 1 species
AACCUAGCACACCUGCGGUGUGUACCUGCGGAGGGAUCAUUACCGAGUUUACAACUCCCAAACCCCUGUGAGCAUACCUAUACGUUGCCUCGGCGGAUCAGCCCGCGCCCUGUAAAAAGGGACGGCCCGCCCGAGGACCCUAAACUCUGUUUUUAGUGGAACUUCUGAGUAAAACAAACAAAUAAAUCAAAACUUUUAACAAUGGAUCU